GAUGGAACGGCUGGCGGCAGGCCUAACACAUGCGAGACUCAGCGGAUGAAAGGAGCUUGCUCCUUGAUUUAGCGGCGGACGGGUGAGUAAUGCCUAGGAAUCUGCCUGGUAGUGGGGGAUAACGUCCGGAAACGGGCGCUAAUACCGCAUACGUCCUACGGGAGAAAGCAGGGGACCUUCGGGCCUUGCGCUAUCAAAUGAGCCUAGGUCGGAUUAUCUAGUUGGUGAGGUAAUGGCUCACCAAGGCGACGAUCCGUAACUGGUCUGAGAGGAUGAUCAGUCACACUGGAACUGAGACACGGUCCAGACUCCUACGGGAGGCAGCAGUGUGGAAUAUUGGACAAUGGGCGAAAGCCUGAUCCAUCCAUGCCGCGUGUGUGAAGGAGCCCUUCCAAUUGUAAAGCACUUUAGUUUGGGAGGAAGGGCAGUAAGUUAAUACCUUGCUGUUUUGACGUUACCCACAGAAUAAGCACCGGCUAACUUCGGGAGCGGCACCCGCGGUAAA
rnacentral:rRNA from 1 species